UGAGAAGGUUAACUCAGCCAGGUGUUGGAUGUCCUGGUUCAAACGUGUAGACGUGCUGCUUAGGUAAAUCCGGGUGGCUUAGUUGAGGCGUGAUAACGGAACACUCUUCGGAGUGCCAAGUGAGUGAUACCCUGCUUCCAGGAAAAGCCACUAAGCUUCAGUCUUAUUUCGACCGUACCGCAAACCGACACAGGUGGGCGGGAUGAAUAUUCUCAGGCGCUUGAGAGAACUCAGGAGAAGGAACUCGGCAAAUUAGCAACGUAACCUCGGGAGAAGGUGCGCCCCAAGUCAGUGAAGUCCCUCGCGGAUGGGGCUAAACGGGGUUGCAGUGAAAUGGUGGCUGCGACUGUUUAAUAAAAACACAGCACUCUGCAAACACGAAAGUGGACGUAUAGGGUGUGACGCCUGCCCGGUGCUGGAAGAUUAAAUGAUGGGGUGCAAGCUCUUGAUUGAAGUCCCAGUAAACGGCGGCCGUAACAAUAACGGUCCUAAGGUAGCGAAAUUCCUUGUCGGGUAAGUUCCGACCCGCACGAAUGGCGUAACGAUGGCCACACUGUCUCCUCCUGAGACUCAGCGAAGUUGAAAUGUUUGUGAAGAUGCAAUCUACCCGCGGCUAGACGGAAAGACCCCGUGCACCUUUACUGUAGCUUUGCAUUGGACUUUGAUGGGAUUUGUGUAGGAUAGGUGGGAGACUAUGAAGCUGGGACGCUAGUUCCAGCAGAGUCGACGUUGAAAUACCACCCUGAUGUCAUUGAGGUUCUAACCCAGGUCCAUUAUCUGGAUCGGGGACCGUGCAUGGUAGGCAGUUUGACUGGGGCGGUCUCCUCCCAAAGUGUAACGGAGGAGUGCGAAGGUACGCUAGGUACGGUCGGACAUCGUGCUGAUAGUGCAAUGGCAUAAGCGUGCUUGACUGCGAGACUGACAAGUCGAGCAGGUGCGAAAGCAGGUCAUAGUGAUCCGGUGGUUCUGUAUGGAAGGGCCAUCGCUCAACGGAUAAAAGGUACGCCGGGGAUAACAGGCUGAUUCCUCCCAAGAGUUCAUAUCGACGGGGGAGUUUGGCACCUCGAUGUCGGCUCAUCACAUCCUGGGGCUGUAGCCGGUCCCAAGGGUAUGGCUGUUCGCCAUUUAAAGUGGUACGUGAGCUGGGUUUAAAACGUCGUGAGACAGUUUGGUCCCUAUCUGCCGUGGGCGUUGGAUAUUUGAGAGGGCCUGCUCCUAGUACGAGAGGACCGGAGUGGACGCACCUCUGGUGUACCGGUUAUGACGCCAGUCGUAUCGCCGGGUAGCUAAGUGCGGAAGAGAUAACCGCUGAAAGCAUCUAAGCGGGAAACUCGCCUCAAGAUAAGAUAUCCCGGGAACUUGAUUCCCCUAAAGGGUCGUUCGAGACCAGGACGUUGAUAGGUCGGGUGUGGAAGCGCAGUAAUGCGUUAAGCUAACCGAUACUAAUUGCCCGUGUGGCUUGAUAC
rnacentral:rRNA from 1 species